rnacentral:lncRNA from 1 species
GGCGCGGCGGCUCUGGGCACUGGCUGGCGGGGGUUCGGGCUCCGGCUCGGGCGGCGGCAGCAGCAGCAGCGCGAGCAGCGGCGGCGGCAGCAGCGGAGCCAGGCACCAGCCUGCAAUCCCAUUAGUGAGCCGCGGCCACUGUGCGCCGCGGAGAGACGCUUUGAUGUGCGCGCAGCGGGCUGGGGUGGGGGGGUGCCGCGAGCGCGAGGAGGAGGUGCGGGGGGCGUGCGAGGGACUUGCAAACAGCAAAACGUGUCAGGGUGGGGCCUUUUUUCCCUUUUGGGGGGCGGCGGUGCUCCCCCCUCUUUCCAGGAUGUUGCUCUCACUGGCUGCUCCGGCUGCGCCGCGCGAGCCCAGCUGAGGGAAGAAGGGGAGGGGGUGGCGGAGGAAGGAUGCACCGGGAGGCUUGGCGAGGACUUGGCCGGUGCAAGGGUAUGACCGGCAGCGGAGGAGAAAUAACCACCAUCCAGGCAAGCUCGCGCCUCCCGCGGCUUCCAGCAACCUGGAAGCCAGCCCGCGUGUGCAGGAAUGGGGGCGUAGAGCCUCCCUUCCUGUCCGGAACCCCACUCUGCCCGUCUUAUGCACAUCAGGCAGCGCGAGGGCUGCCAAGCGCAAGUUGGGCUCCUCAAGAACUUGAUACUUAUCGAGGAGGGAUGGUGUGCAAAGACGGAGAGAAAAAAAGAAGCCGCUUUUGUGCAAUGGAGAGUUUGUUCUCCUUGUAAGAAUGGGCUCUUCCCGCUACUGGUGGGCGGGCGGGUUGGUCCUGGACAAACUUGUGAGGUGAGGACUGCAGGUCCGGCUAGAGGGAUCCGGUUGUGCCCCGAUGACCCACCUCUAUACGCCCCUUUCGACCGAUGAAACGAAUAAAUUAGCAGCCACCACUGAGACGAACUCUGCAAAUUCCAACCACCAGGGAAACAAAAAGAGAAAACACGUGCAUUUAUUUCCUCGCGUCUCUCAGUUACUUCUCCACACUAUUACAUCAAUGUUUCUUUAAGGGGUGAGGAGGCAUGCCUGCGGUUUGGGUGAGCCUUUUUAAGUGACGACUUGCAUUCCUUUUCACUCGGCUAGUGGGUGGGGGCGGUAGGAGUUGAUCGUUUCCCCCACCCCCUGCCCAGGACCCCCGUUGUCCUACUUCCUCCUCUUUCUUCCGGCUCGCGAGCCGGGAGUGGAGUUGCGGGCGGUGGGCGCAGUCUCCUUCGGGAUGAAGGGCUCCGACUCCCUCAUCUUGCGCGCGCCACCCUCGCCCCCUUUGCUGGUGCGGCUGGUGCUUGCCCCUUCUUGUCCUUGCUCCUUCCCACUCCCUGCACGCCAAGGCCCGGGCCCCACAGCCGCAGCCAGGGGACGAGUGGCCGGCCGCCUUGCCUUCCGCAGGAACCCAAGUUGGGAUCGGCUUAGCGUGGUGACCGCGGCCGCGCCGCCCCAGCCCUCGGCCAAUAGCGCCUCGCCCGGAGAGGCACCUGCUUAACCCUUUGAGCCUAGGGCGCAGCCGGCAGGCCGGGACACAGAGGGGCAGGACGGAUUGGCCAGAAGUUGCCAAGGCCGAGAGUGACACAGGCCGUCCAGCCCAGCGUCCCCGCACACGGUGUAGGGGCCAGACGCCUGCCCUUGCCGCAGACCCGGGCGUCCCCUCCCACCCUGAUGGCUCUCGGGAAACAGCCAACCCGCACAAAGGCGAGCCUUUGCCCUGGCGGCGUCCCGCGCCUGCCGGGGCAACCUCUGAACUCCCCUAACCCAAGUCAGUUUCCGGAGGCGCCUCCUGCGCCCGGCAGCCGCUGGGAAACAGAGGGAGGGAGCCCCAGCUCUCGCUGGCCGGGCCCACGGCGCAGCUGCGUUUCCAUUUUCCUUUCAAAGAAAAUGCUUUGGACGGCAGAUAAUACCAGGAGAUAUGAAACUGCUUCGUCCCCCACGUGUUGCACGUAAAAAGAAUCGUAAUGAGCAUCUGUGCCUUGUGUGAGGGAUCCCACGAAUUUGUUGAAGACCUAACCGAGGUCCUGACUCCCUCCUUCCCGAGAAGAAAUCAUUUUCUAGCUUAUCGGCAUUCAUUUCGGGGAUACUUAUUGUGCAGAGGCCAAACGCAAGGUCUUUGGGCCGGGAUUGUGGUCAUGGGGGCGGAGGCCGGGCUGGUGGAAAAGAUUUGAUCACAGAAGUGGGUCCUCAUCCCACGCGGAGCACACAGCGCUGGGCGUCGCAGGUUGACUUGGAUCUCAGCGCGCUCUCCUCCCUACCUCUCGGGCUAUGAAAAGAUCACAAAUACCACUCCUUGGCUCUGCGCAGGCUUUCUCAGAGCGAGAAAUGGGAGUUUAUGCCAAUUCGAGAGUGGUCAGGAAUGUUUUAGGGAUUGGGAAAAGUUUCUUUCUCUGACUGCAUUGGUCAAGGCCGGCGGUAUUGUAGGCCAAAGGAAGUCUAGUAUGUAAAUGACUCAUGAAUGAGGCUAAAAAUGAACCCCGAUGCAGGCGGUGCCUUUCUAUAAAAUAGCUUUUAAUUGUUGGCCCAUUGUGGGGUGGUGCUGUGCCUGCCACAGAUGUCUAGGCCAACCAGUUGAUGGAGGCUUCCAGCAAGUGGCUCCUGGAUCCACGUGUACUCCAGGAAUGUAAUGCAAUAUUCCACCUCGAUCCUGUGCAUCCAGAGGCAGCCUCAAUGUGCCAAGUGAGUCGAAGGAGGGAAAAGCCCUCUGUGGCCAGAAGUGCAGAACUUUUAGAUUAGUGUCCCUUUUAAAGUCUUUCUGCACAGUCAACGAGUUAUAUUUACAAAGAAUAUUAGUGCUCUUCUUUGUUUCAAUACCAAUUCUAUUACUAGAAGAGGCCAGCAAUUACAUUUUAUUCACUACUUAUUUUACAAAAUCGUUAUUUUACAUUACUUAUUUUACAAAAAUGUAUCACCCUGUUUCCUGUCACUUUUGGAGGGCAAUUUUUUCUUGGAAGCCCAAAGGGCAAAAUUGCCCCAAUGGAAAGAAAAUGUGAGAUUUGUUGUUGGACAUUUAAAACUACAUAAACUGAAGCCUUUUCAAUUAUGCUUUGUUAUCAAAAUAGUUUAAUGAGCACAUUCAACUUCAAAGUUCCAAGCUUUCAAUUACCCAUCUUUACGAGAAUUAAUAUGGCUCCUGCCCUCCAGAAAGUUUGUUUUCUAAAACAGGAAUACACAACAUACUCAAAGAAGAUUUGCACAGUAGAUUACCUUACAAUGCACUUGUUAAGUCUGUUUCAGUAUUUUAUCCUUACAUGUAUAGUCUCAGAAGGUCGGUUUGCAUGCAUGAGAGACAAAUUCCUUAUUGGAUCUGCUUAUCUCCAUGUUCAUUAAGGACCUUAAGCAAAAUAUAAGUUUAUUCUCUCAUUAGUAAUUCAGAUUUCAUUACUCUGCUCCUUCAGUUAAAAUCUUUACAUGCUAGCAGCUGUUUUGAAAUAUUUUGAAAGUUGCUUUGGCAUUCACCCAACCAAAAGGACUCCAGUUAGCACUAACCUGUAUACUCUCUCAUUUUAUACCCCUGCCACAUCUAAGUUUCAGUGCAUGUAGAGACUUGGAAAAAUGAUUAUAUGAUGUUUUAACCCCAAAUACAUGCAUGUGAUAUAUAGAUACACAGUUACAUAUUUACAUCUUUAUCCUUGUCAGUGUACAACUGUGCCUUUUACUCAUACAAUACAAAUAUCUAUUCUCUGAAAAUUCAUUUCCAUGUACUUAAAUUGUUUGACUUUGAAUUUUCACUAUUUCCUGUCAGAAGGUGCCAAUGGCAGGUAGGAGAGAGAAGCCUACAAAGCCUGAAUGUAUCUGAUUUUUGCUUCAAUUUACUCAGAUAUUUAACAAGAAAAAAAUGUAUACAGAGAUCAGGAUAAGGUAAAGCAAAACAACCUAAGUAGAAUAAAAAUACUGUAGGUAGUAUAUAAAGUAAAAAAUACUUUCCUUGGAAAUGAUAGAUGUUUUUACUGAAGUGAUUAUGCUGCAAAAAGGGUUUUUUGGUUUUGUUUUGUUUUGUUUUGUUUUUCUGUAAAGAAACUCUCAUAAUUUCCAACAACCUGAGAGUUGAGUCUUUAUUACAGGAGAAGCCAUGAACUAGUAUUACACAGUGCCUCCAUCAUAUCUUGCAAAGAAGAUUUUUACAUUCUGUAGAGGGCUUAAAUCUUUGAUUUAACCAAUUUUCCAUCUUUGCUCCUCAAUCCAAAUGGAAUUCUAGCUCUUACUGCUAAAUUUGCCAUUCUAUUAAUAUGUCCUUAGUACAUUCAAAAGCAAAACAGUAAUGUCAGGGGAGGAAAACAACCAUAAACUUACUAAUAUAAUCAUUGUUGGUAUUCCAGAAGAGAAACUAAGGAAUUAAGAGAUAAUGGCUAAUAAAUUUUUAUUAUAUAUGUAUAUCCAUAUAUAAU